UACGGAGGGUGCGAGCGUUGUCCGGAAUCACUGGGCGUAAAGGGCGCGUAGGCGGCCUUCUAAGUCGAACGUGAAAUCCCCGGGCUCAACCCGGGAACUGCGUCCGAUACUGGGAGGCUUGAAUCCGGGAGAGGGAUGUGGAAUUCCAGGUGUAGCGGUGAAAUGCGUAGAUAUCUGGAGGAACACCGGUGGCGAAGGCGGCAUCCUGGACCGGUAUUGACGCUGAGGCGCGAAAGCCAGGGGAGCAAACGGG
rnacentral:rRNA from 1 species